rnacentral:rRNA from 1 species
AGUGAACGCUGGCGGUGGGCCUAACACAUGCAAUUCGAGCGGCAGCACAGUAAGAGCUUGCUCUUACGGGUGGCGGGUGGCGGACGGGUGAGGCGUAGAUCGGAAUCUACUUUUUCUUGGGGGAUAUCGGGGGGCCAGUUACACUACUACCUCAUACGACCUACCGGUGCAAUCAGGGGAGCUUCGCAGCUUUCCUGCCUGACUGAGCCGAUUGCGGAUUAGCUAGUUGGCGGGGUAACGGCCCACCAAGGCGACGAUCCGUUGCUGAUCUGAGAGGAUGAUCGGCCACACUGGAACGGAGACACGGUCCAGACUCCUACGGGAGGCAGCAGUGGGGAAUAUUGCACAAUGGGCGAAAGCCUGAAGGAGCCAGCCCGCGUGGGUGAAGAAGGCAUUCGGGUCGUAAAGCUCUUUUGUUGGGAAAGAAAAGAAGCAGGUUAAAAUCAAGCUGUUCUGACGGUACCAAAGCAAUAAGCACCGGCUAACUUCGUG